UACAGAGGUCUCAAGCGUUGUUCGGAUUCAUUGGGCGUAAAGGGUGCGUAGGCGGCGCGGUAAGUCGGGUGUGAAAUCUCGGAGCUUAACUCCGAAACUGCAUUCGAUACUGGCGUGCUUGAGGACUGGAGAGGAGACUGGAAUUCAUGGUGUAGCAGUGAAAUGCGUAGAGAUCAUGAGGAAGACCAGUGGCGAAGGCGGCCCCUGGGCCGUACCUGACGCUGAGGCGCGAAGGCUAGGGAGCGAACGGG
rnacentral:rRNA from 1 species